ensembl:lncRNA
AAGUAUUACUUCAAACUUUUCUACUGCAGAUUCAUUUUAGCUUAUUUAUAUUAUUUUUUUUAACAAUAAUACAUUCAGUUUAUUGCUACUCUGUUGGCUCACUGCAUUUACUCGUUAUUGUACGUUUACUGAGUAAAAUCUGGCACAAUUAUUUCCUUCGUGAUUAAUACAAAUUGAUCUUAUAACACAAGUUAACCAGGCUACUAGAGCUGACACAGCUAACCAGGCUACUAGAGCUAACACAGCUAACCAGGCUACUAGAGCUAACACACCUAACCAGGCUACUAGAGCUAACACACCUAACCAGGCUACGAGAGCUAACACAAGUUAAUCAGGCUACGAGAGCUAACACAAGUUAACCAGGCUACUAGAGCUAACACAGCUAACCAGGCUACUAGAGCUAACACAGCUAACCAGGCUACUAGAGCUAACACAGCUAACCAGGCUACUAGAGCUAACACAGCUAACCAGGCUACUAGAGCUAACACAAGUUAACCAGGCUACUAGAGCUAACCAGGCUACUGGAGCUAACACAGCUAACCAGGCUACUGGAUCUAACACAAGUUAACCAGGCUACUAGAGCUACCACAGCUAACCAGGCUAAUGGAGCUAACAAAGCUAACCAGGUUACUAGAGCUAACACAAGUUAAUCAGGCUACUAGAGCUAACACAGCUAACCAGGCUACUGGAGCUAACACAGCUAACCAGGUUACUAGAGCUAACACAACUAACCAGGCUACUAGAGCUAACACAAGUUAAUCAGGCUACUAGAGCUAACACAGCUAACCAGGCUACUAGAGCUAACACAGCUAACCAGGUUACUAGAGCUAACACAAGUUAAUCAGGCUACUAGAGCUAACACAGCUAACCAGGCUACUAGAGCUAACACAGCUAACCAGGUUACUAGAGCUAACACAGCUAACCAGGCUACUAGAGCUAACACAGCUAACCAGGCUACUAGAGCUAACACAGCUAACCAGGCUACUGGAGCUAACACAGCUAACCAGGUUACUAGAGCUAACACAGCUAACCAGGCUACUGGAGCUAACACAGCUAACCAGGCUACUGGAGCUAACACAGCUAACCAGGCUACUGGAGCUAACACACCUAACCAGGCUACUAGAGCUAACACAGCUAACCAGGCUACUGGAGCUAACACAGCUAACCAGGCUACUAGACCUAACACAAGUUAACCAGGCU